CCUACGGGAGGCAGCAGUGGGGGAUAUUGCACAAUGGGGGAAACCCUGAUGCAGCGACGCCGCGUGGGUGAAGAAGCGCCUCGGCGCGUAAAGCCCUGUCAGCAGGGAAGAAAAUGACGGUACCUGAAGAAGAAGCCCCGGCUAACUACGUGCCAGCAGCCGCGGGCAUACGUAGGGGGCAAGCGUCAUCCGGAUUUACUGGGGGUAAAGGGGGCGCAGACGGCGAUGCAAGCCAGGAGUGAAAGCCCGGGGCCCACCCCCGGGACUGCUCUUGGAACUGCGUGGCUAGAGUGCAGGAGGGGCAGGCGGAAUUCCUGGUGUAGCGGUGAAAUGCGUAGAUAUCAGGAGGAACACCGGUGGCGAAGGCGGCCUGCUGGACUGCAACUGACGUUGAGGCCCGAAAGCGUGGGGAGCAAACAGGAUUAGAUACCCUGGUAGUC
rnacentral:rRNA from 1 species